rnacentral:piRNA from 1 species
UAGGUAGCCAAAUUCCACAAUCCUGCGC